rnacentral:misc_RNA from 1 species
AAGACUAUAGACCUGCGGAGUACCUGCGGAGGGAUCAUUAACAAAUCCAUGCUCCCGGGCCGGUCUAGCGCUGGCCUAGGAAGACAUUAGCCCGCCCGGUGUGAAAGCGCCGGGUGCAAAUGAGUGUGUGUGUGUGGGGGUGGGCGGUUAGCAGCCGCCAGCCGGCGCAUGCACGCAUUACAUAUAUGUAUGUUGUGUAGACAAAGUGUGUGACUGACUGAAUAAAUUAAAUGACAACUU